UGGGCGGGGCGUUAUGAUUGGGUGUGGCCUGCGGGGUGGGCGUGGCCUGUAGGUGGGCGUGGCCUCGGGCUAUAAGCCAGGCCCAGGUGUGGGCGGGGCCUGCCUCUGGGGGGCGGGGCCUCUUUGCCAUUUGGGCGUGGUUUAAGGAAAAGGGGGCGUGGCUUAUAACAAAGGGGCGUGGCUCGGGGCGGUGGGCGUGUCCCCCACGAGCCCCGCCCCCUCCCGCAGCUCCACCCUGGAGGGCGCCGACAGCCACAAGGGGGCGGGGCCGGGCGGGAGCCGCCUCCUGCAGCUCUACUACGGGAACCGCGCCGUGCUGUUCCUGCUGUGUGCGGCCAAUGAGGGCUUCUACUGCAGCCUCUACCUCGUCUACUUCUGGGAGGGGCCUGCCGUGGUGCCGGGCGGCCCGGGGCUGUUCCGGGUGCUGCUGUGGCUCUGUGCCCCCCCCGCGCUGCUCAAGGGGGGGCUCAACCUCCUGCAGCUGGGGGGGGCCGCGCGGCGCCUGGCGGC
rnacentral:lncRNA from 1 species